rnacentral:lncRNA from 1 species
AUAGAGAGCUAUUGCUUUGAAAAUAUUUAGAGGCAAAGCUUGCUAGAAAGACGUUAGGCCCUUAUGUCACCCUUUCCCUCUCCGCUAAGCCAGAGCUUUUACCGGUCGCCGUGGGGCCGGAUAGCUCCUAGACUGCUGAGUGAUUACCGGAGAUAGGGCGUCCGUGCGGGAAGCGUCUUUGCAUCUGUCUGGAACCUCUCGGAUGCUUCCACACGCUUUGUCCUUAUCUUGUAAACUUCUUAAGUCUCUGGUCAUAAGAAUUCUGCCAGCAGUAACCAGGGAGCUUCCUUCCUUGUCCACGGUAAGUUCAGAGAGUGGCUCCCCCCAACCAAAGUUUGUCUUUCAAUGUGAUUGGACCAGUUUAGACCAUUUACCUAUCCCUGGCUCAAUAAUAGUCACCUGGGGAAUACCCUAAGCCUGUGAUUUUCAGUAUGAUGGGGAGGAGGUGACAUUUGGUAAUGUCUGGAGACAUUUUUGAUUGUCAUAACUGUGGGGGUGGGGUCUACUGGCAUCUAUUGUGUAGAGGCCAGGGAUGCUGCUAAAUAUCCUACCAUAUGCAGACCAGCCCUCUUCCCCACAAUAGUUCCAUGGCUCAAAAUAGUACCAUGGUUGAGUAAGCUUAGUAAGUCUGUAUUCCUAACUAACACUGACAAGGGGAAUGAGGUUUACCAUUAUUGGUUUAGAUCUAUCAGUAUCUAUGAAUAGGUUUAGCUUCCUGUUUCAGAGGGUGGGCCUCUAAACUAAAAAAGGAAAUGUUAGAAGAGAGCAAAGGGCACAGACAACUGUCUUAGUCCAUAUGUACUACUUUAACAAAAUACCAUAAACUGAGUGGCUUGUAAACAACAGAAAUUUAUUUAUAAGUUCUGGGGGCUGAGAAAUCUGAGAUAAAAGUGCCAGAAGACUUGAUGUCUGGUGAGGACUUCACCCUCAUGACCUAAUCACCUCUCCAAAGCCCUACCUCCAAAUACCAUUAUACUUGGGAUUAGGUUUCAACAUAUGAAUUUUGAGGGAACACAAAUACCGGUUUAUAGAGGCCACCAGUAAUAUCCAUGAAAGAGCUGAUUAUUUGAGGGGUUAUAAUAAUAUAUAUUUAAUUCCAACAAAGAUUCAAGUGGACAAUAAGCACAUGAAAAGAUGCUCAACAUCACUAAUUGUUAGGGGAAUGCAAAUCAAGACAAUGAGAUACCACCUUACACCCAUUAGGAUGGCUACUAUCAGAAAAACAAAAUAACAAAUGUUAGUAGGGAUGUGAAAUAUUUGAAACCUUUGUGCAUUGAUGGUAGGAAUCUAAAAUGGUAUAGCCACUGUGGAAAACAAUGUGGCAUUUCCUCAAAAAAUUAAAAAUAGGGGCACCUGCAUGGCUUAGUCAGUUAAGCAUUUGACUCUUGAUUUCGGCUCAGGUCAUGAUCUCACGGUUUGUGAGUUCAAGCCCCUCAUUGGGCUCUGUGCUAGCAAUGUGGAGCCUGCUUCAGAUUCUCUGUCUCUGUCUAUCUGUCUCUGCUCCUCCUCUCCUCAUACAUUCACUCUCUCUCUCUCAAA